rnacentral:rRNA from 1 species
CGGGUGAGUAACACGUAGGCAACCUACCCUUGAGAUUGGGAUAACUACCGGAAACGGUAGCUAAUACCGGAUACGACCUUUCCACAUAAGUGGAACUGUUAAAAGGCGGAUUUAUCUGCCGCUCAUGGAUGGGCCUGCGGUGCAUUAGCUAGUUGGUGAGAUAGUAGCUCACCAAGGCGACGAUGCAUAGCCGACCUGAGAGGGUGAUCGGCCACACUGGAACUGAGACACGGUCCAGACUCCUACGGGAGGCAGCAGUGGGGAAUAUUGCACAAUGGGCGAAAGCCUGAUGCAGCAACGCCG